AUCCAACUGAAAAGUUUCAAAUAGGGCAAAAUGCGCGUCCUGGAU
rnacentral:hammerhead_ribozyme from 1 species